rnacentral:rRNA from 1 species
AGUGGGGAAUCUUGCGCAAUGGGCGAAAGCCUGACGCAGCCAUGCCGCGUGAAUGAUGAAGGUCUUAGGAUUGUAAAAUUCUUUCACCGGGGACGAUAAUGACGGUACCCGGAGAAGAAGCCCCGGCUAACUUC